GGGGACUUAGUUCAAUGGGAGAAUAAAUCUAAAAUCACUUAAAGAUUUCUGUGUGAUAAUUAAAAGAUCUAGGUUCGAUUCCUAGAGUUCCCA
rfam:Trichomonas vaginalis G3, whole genome shotgun sequence.